GGGACGUUCCUGAAAAUACGUAGCUUGGAUGGCAGCAUGUGUUGCUCCAAAACCUGGAUGUACCUUUUAGCAUUGAUAGUGCCAUCACAGAUGAGUAAGUUGCCCUUGCCAUGGGCACUGACACACCCCAUACCAUGGGGUCUGACCUUU